rnacentral:tRNA from 2 species
GGAAGGGUGGCCGAGUUGGUUAUGGCGCCAGGUUAAGGUCAGCUUAACAACUGUUUCCUGGUGGGGCAACCCGCGCGAGUUCGAGUCUCGUCCCUUUCA